rnacentral:tRNA from 1 species
GCCGGGGUAGCUCAGGUGGUUCGAGCGUGGGACUCAUAAUCCCAAGGUCGGGGUUCAACUCCCCGCCCCGGCA